GACGAACGCUGGCGGCGUGCUUAACACAUGCAAGUCGAACGGAAAGGCCCUGCUUUUGUGGGGUGCUCGAGUGGCGAACGGGUGAGUAACACGUGAGUAACCUGCCCUUGACUUUGGGAUAACUUCAGGAAACUGGGGCUAAUACCGGAUAGGAGCUCCUGCUGCAUGGUGGGGGUUGGAAAGUUUCGGCGGUUGGGGAUGGACUCGCGGCUUAUCAGCUUGUUGGUGGGGUAGUGGCUUACCAAGGCUUUGACGGGUAGCCGGCCUGAGAGGGUGACCGGCCACAUUGGGACUGGGAUACGGCCCAGACUCCUCCGGGAGGCAGCAGUGGGGAAUAUUGCACACUGGGCGGAAGCCUGAUGCAGCAACGCCGCGUGCGGGAUGACGGCCUUCGGGUUGUAAACCGCUUUCGCCUGUGACGAAGCGUGAGUGACGGUAAUGGGUAAAGAAGCACCGGCUAACUACGUG
rnacentral:rRNA from 1 species